rnacentral:lncRNA from 1 species
UAAAAAAUCCAAAAAUAUUGUCUUGUUUCCCUUAUUGUUUUGAAUUAGAUUUUUUGUUAGUUUCCCGACCCAAUGAUAUAAUUGGAUCAAAAAUUUGAACCAUGAUCAUCAAGAACUUAGUUAACAUGUGUUUGGUGAAAUUCCUAAUUCUCUUGUUAGUUUUGUACAUGUUUGACCAUCUUUGAAAAACCAAAUGCACAUAGCCUUGUUAAUGUGAAACUAAAGUAUGACUUAAAGCUUCAUAUGUGAAUUUAGUGACCAUAUACAUCCUAUGUGAGUUUUUGAGCCUAUUGAAAGUGUGUGCAUUUUUCAUACACUCCUAUUUUUUUUUUAUGUGUGAUGAACUUAUGUGAGAUACAUCUCUAGAACUUGCGUAACGAUCUUUCGAAUUGUUUGUCAUUGAUUGCAUGAACUUGGAAAUGAUAGAGGCAUUAGGUUUACCACUAUGGCCCAAAUAACCAUGUUUCCCAAAGAAAAAUGAUAUCAUUAGUUUGCCAAUUUGAGCCGUGUUUGUUGAGCCUUUUAUUUCUUAUCACCAGAUAUGUCUACCCUUAUACCUGAAACAUUUUUCCUUACCCUUUCCAAGCGAGCAAUGCGAAAUUGUCUUAUGAGAAACGUUGGUGAAGUACUGUGAAGAUGUUUGGCAAAAGAAUAAGUGUGGGGGUAUUUCAUGUUUGUAUUUAAAAAAAAAAAAAAAAAAAAAGAAAGAAAAAGAAAGAUUGUAUACAAAGAAAAUAAAAAGUUUUUAAAGUUUCAGUUUAAGGGUGUGGUUGGAGGUGUUAGAAGAAUCGCUGGAAAUAUUGAGUUCUUAUAAAUCUAAACAAAAGAAUUGCUUGCAAUGUAGCUUGGAACUUGUGUUUUCCUAUUCUUUCAUUUCAAUAACCCUAUCCCU